AACGCACAUUGCGCUCCCUGGUAUUCCUAGGAGCAUGUCUGUCUGAGCGUCAGUACACACCCUCUGGCCAGCUUUUUCUUAGCUGAGAAGGCCAGCCGGGUCCUGAGGGGGGGAGCGCUGACCUGCCUGCCCCUUCUAAAGUGGAACGCCAGCGGCCCGCCUGCCCAUGAAAGACGUAGUAACACAAAGCCUCGUCCGAGAAAGGGUUCCAGGUGCGCGGCUCGCCUCGACAUCUACAUCCUAAGGCUUGACCUCAGGUCAGACAAGAAUACCCGCUGAACUUAA
rnacentral:misc_RNA from 1 species